rnacentral:rRNA from 1 species
UAGCGUUGCUCGGAAUCACUGGGCGUAAAGGGUGCGUAGGCGGUUCUUUAAGUUUGGGGUGAAAUCCUGGAGCUCAACUCCAGAACUGCCUUUGAUACUGAGGAUCUUGAGUUCGGGAGAGGUGAGUGGAACUGCGAGUGUAGAGGUGAAAUUCGUAGAUAUUCGCAAGAACACCAGUGGCGAAGGCGGCUCACUGGCCCGAUACUGACGCUGAGGCACGAAAGCGUGGGGAGCAAACAGG